rnacentral:rRNA from 1 species
ACACGUCUACAUUAGAUACCCCGGUAGUCCCAGCCGUAAACUAUGCGCGUUAGGUGUAUCGGUGACCACGAGUUACCGAGGUGCCGAAGGGAAACCGUGAAACGUGCCGCCUGGGAAGUACGGUCGCAAGGCUGAAACUUAAAGGAAUUGGCGGGGGAGCACCACAACAGGUGGAGCCUGCGGUUUAAUUGGACUCAACGCCGGGAAGCUCACCGGAUAGGACAGCAGAAUGAUUGCCGGGCUGAAGACCCUGCAUGACUAGCUG